CUGAAACCAGGCCUCCGAGUCGUCAUUCCUAAGGAGGAUUCUCUACGGAUGGCGACCAGCGGGUUUUCCCGGAAACGGGGAAGCCUCCCGUUACUUGGAAAGGAGGAUACAUGUUGAGAGA
rfam:Synergistales bacterium 53_16 MPI_scaffold_677, whole genome shotgun sequence.